GGCAGGUCGGCAGGCAGCACCAGGCAAGGGGACAGCUGUCCUUGGUGUGCCAUGCUGCUCCUCACCUGCCAACAAAAAUCAUCUUCUUUUGGAGCAUAUGCCAAGGGGAUAAUCCAGGCUGAAGCUGCUUGCUCCAACAGCUAAGAAGCCCAUGACUGUGGGAGAAAACCCUACCAAACUGCCACUCAUUUGUCAGCCUGAAGUUUUGUCUCCAUCCAUCAUUUUUGGCAGCACUUUCUCCCUGGCGCAUGGUUGCGGCACCCAGCUGUGCAUCCUGCCCCAUUGCAAGGACAGCUGAGCUGAGGGUGAAUCAGCAACACAAACACCACAGUUACAGAGAGGUGGAUUAAGACAAAUCCUCUCUGAAUUUGCCUUUUCUGCGCUGACAGCAGGAGUCAACCCCCGAGCCUCCCAGGCACCCAUGCAGCAGGAGCGACUGACAGCUGAGGACAGACGCUCAUCAGAUGCCUCUGGCCAAGCCUUCCUCUCUCGUUGCUUAGUCAUUAGCAUCGGUUAACAGAGCUGUAAUUAACUUCUUUUUGCAGUGUUGUAUGAGGCCUGGCAACACAUUGUUCAGAUUUUAACAUGAGCCACAGAGCAUGCUUGUAACGCAACUGUAUAUCGAGGGCAGCCUGAGCACCCAGCCCGAUAACCGCCCUGCUCAGCUCUGGUCUCAGCAAGGAAAAGAAAGAAGCCCUUAACAGCUUUCCACCAGUGACUAAACAAAAACAAAAACAAAAACAAAAACAACCUAUGCAUAUCCAUAUUAAACCUAUACCUUCGGUAAGAAAAUUGGGAGCUGAAGGUCAUUUUGUUAUGUUUUUUUUAAAGACUAGUUAAGGAUUUUGCACACAUGCGCACACAAGCACACGUAUUUGUUUUAAUUAUUAAUCCAGACAAACUAAAGAUUAUGUCGUCGCAUUAAAGGCUAAUGUGAUGAAAAGAUCAAGGCAUUUAAUGAAGUGCAAAAUUCAUCCUACUUAUGAAAAGAAAUGUUGCUCUCUCCAGGGAAAACUCUGUACAGAAAAUGUGGCUUUUUAAUGAAAGUUAUUUGUGUCUGUUUAAUAUUCUGGACCAUGAGAAAA